AGUGAGCGCUGGCGGUAGGCCUAACACAUGCAAGUCGAACGGCAGCACAGGAGAGCUUGCUCUCUGGGCGGCGAGUGGCGGACGGGUGAGGAAUACAUCGGAAUCUACUCUGUCGUGGGGGAUAACGUAGGGAAACUUACGCUAAUACCGCAUACGAACUACGGGUGCAAGCCGGGGACCUUCGGGCCUUGCGCGACUGUAUGAGCCGGUGUCGGAUUAGCUAGUUGGCGGGGUAAAGGCCCACCAAAGCGGCGAUGCGUAGCUGGUCUGAGAGGAGAAUCAGGCACAAGGGAGCUGAGACACGGUCCAGACUCCUACGGGAGGCAGCAGUGGGGAAUAUUGGACAAUGGGCGCAAGCCUGAUCCAGCCAUACCGCGUGGGUGAAGAAGGCCUUCGGGUUGUAAAGCCCUUUUGUUGGGAAAGAAAUCCAGCUGGCUAAUACCCGGUUGGGAUGACGGUACCCAAAGAAUAAGCACCGGCUAACUUCGUGCCAGCCGCCGCAGUAA
rnacentral:rRNA from 1 species